ensembl:lncRNA
AGUCCUCAACCAGUACAGUUUUCAUCUCAUUUCAACCAGUACAGUUUCCAUCUCAUUUCAACCAGUACAGUUUUCAUCUCAUUUCAACCAGUACUGUUUUCAUCUCAUUUCAACCAGUACAGUUUUCAUCUCAUUUCAACCAGUACAGUUUUCAUCUCAUUUCAACCAGUACAGUUUUCAUCUCAUUUCAACCAGUACAGUUUUCAUCUCAUUUCAACCAGUACAGUUUUCAUCUCAUUUCAACCAGUACAGUUUUCAUCUCAUUUCAACCAGUACUGUUUUCAUCUCAUUUCAACCAGUACAGUUUUCAUCUCAUUUCAACCAGUACUGUUUUCAUCUCAUUUCAACCAGUACAGUUUUCAUCUCAUUUCAACCAGUACUGUUAUCAUCUCAUUUCAACCAGUACAGUUUUCAUCUCAUUUCAACCAGUACAGUUUUCAUCUCAUUUCAACCAGUACAGUUUUCAUCUCAUUUCAACCAGUACAGUUUUUAUCUCAUUUCAACCAGUACAGUUUUCAUCUCAUUUCAACCAGUACUGUUUUCAUCUCAUUUCAACCAGUACUGUUUUCAUCUCAUUUCAACCAGUACUGUUUUCAUCUCAUUUCAACCAGUACUGUUUUCAUCUCAUUUCAACCAGUACUGUUUUCAUCUCAUUUCAACCAGUACAGUUUUCAUCUCAUUUCAACCAGUACAGUUUUCAUCUCAUUUCAACCAGUACUGUUUUCAUCUCAUUUCAACCAGUACUGUUUUCAUCUCAUUUCAACCAGUACUGUUUUCAUCUCAUUUCAACCAGUACUGUUUUCAUCUCAUUUCAACCAGUACAGUUUUCAUCUCAUUUCAACCAGUACAGUUUUCAUCUCAUUUCAACCAGUACUGUUUUCAUCUCAUUUCAACCAGUACUGUUUUCAUCUCAUUUCAACCAGUACUGUUUUCAUCUCAUUUCAACCAGUACUGUUUUCAUCUCAUUUCAACCAGUACUGUUUUCAUCUCAUUUCAACCAGUACUGUUUUCAUCUCAUUUCAACCAGUACUGUUUUCAUCUCAUUUCAACCAGUACUGUUUUCAUCUCAUUUCAACCAGUACUGUUUUCAUCUCAUUUCAACCAGUACAGUUUUCAUCUCAUUUCAACCAGUACAGUUUUCAUCUAAUUUCUACCAGUACAGUUUUCAUCUCAUUUCAACCAGUACUGUUAUCAUCUCAUUUCAACCAUCUCAGUUUCCAUCUCAUUUCAACCAGUACAGUUUCCAUCUCAUUUCAACCAGUACUGUUAUCAUCUCAUUUCAACCAGUACUGUUUUCAUCUCAUUUCAACCAGUACUGUUUUCAUCUCAUUUCAACCAGUACUGUUUUCAUCUCAUUUCAACCAGUACAGUUUUCAUCUCAUUUCAACCAGUACAGUUUUCAUCUCAUUUCAACCAGUACUGUUUUCAUCUCAUUUCAACCAGUACUGUUUUCAUCUCAUUUCAACCAGUACUGUUUUCAUCUCAUUUCAACCAGUACAGUUUUCAUCUCAUUUCAACCAGUACUGUUUUCAUCUCAUUUCAACCAGUACUGUUUUCAUCUCAUUUCAACCAGUACUGUUUUCAUCUCAUUUCAACCAGUACAGUUUUCAUCUCAUUUCAACCAGUACAGUUUUCAUCUCAUUUCAACCAGUACUGUUUUCAUCUCAUUUCAACCAGUACUGUUUUCAUCUCAUUUCAACCAGUACUGUUUUCAUCUCAUUUCAACCAGUACUGUUUUCAUCUCAUUUCAACCAGUACUGUUUUCAUCUCAUUUCAACCAGUACUGUUUUCAUCUCAUUUCAACCAGUACUGUUUUCAUCUCAUUUCAACCAGUACUGUUUUCAUCUCAUUUCAACCAGUACUGUUUUCAUCUCAUUUCAACCAGUACAGUUUUCAUCUCAUUUCAACCAGUACAGUUUUCAUCUAAUUUCUACCAGUACAGUUUUCAUCUCAUUUCAACCAGUACUGUUAUCAUCUCAUUUCAACCAUCUCAGUUUCCAUCUCAUUUCAACCAGUACAGUUUCCAUCUCAUUUCAACCAGUACUGUUAUCAUCUCAUUUCAACCAUCUCAGUUUCCAUCUCAUUUCAACCAGUACAGUUUUCAUCUCAUUUCAACCAGUACUGUUAUCAUCUCAUUUCAACCAGCUCAGUUUCCAUCUCAUUUCAACCAGUACAGUUUCCAUCUCAUUUCAACCAGUACUGUUUUCAUCUCAUUUCAACCAGUACAGUUUUCAUCUCAUUUCAACCAGUACAGUUUUCAUCUCAUUUCAACCAGUACAGUUUUCAUCUCAUUUCAACCAGUACUGUUUUCAUCUCAUUUCAACCAGUACAGUUUUCAUCUCAUUUCAACCAGUACUGUUAUCAUCUCAUUUCAACCAGUACAGUUUUCAUCUAAUUUCAACCAGUACAGUUUUCAUCUCAUUUCAACCAGUACAGUUUUCAUCUCAUUUCAACCAGUACAGUUUUCAUCUCAUUUCAACCAGUACAGUUUCCAUCUCAUUUCAACCAGUACAGUUUUCAUCUCAUUUCAACCAGUACAGUUUUCAUCUCAUUUCAACCAGUACAGUUUUCAUCUCAUUUCAACCAGUACAGUUUUCAUCUCAUUUCUACCAGUACAGUUUUCAUCUCAUUUCAACCAGUACUGUUAUCAUCUCAUUUCAACCAUCUCAGUUUCCAUCUCAUUUCAACCAGUACAGUUUCCAUCUCAUUUCAACCAGUACUGUUAUCAUCUCAUUUCAACCAUCUCAGUUUCCAUCUCAUUUCAACCAGUACAGUUUCCAUCUCAUUUCAACCAGUACUGUUUUCAUCUCAUUUCAACCAGUACAGUUUUCAUCUAAUUUCAACCAAUACAGUUUUCAUCUCAUUUCAACCAGUACUGUUUUCAUCUCAUUUCAACCAGUACAGGUUUCAUCUCAUUUCAACCAGUACUGUUAUCAUCUCAUUUCAACCAAUACAGUUUUCAUCUCAUUUCAACCAAUACAGUUUUCAUCUCAUUUCAACCAGUACUGUUUUCAUCUCAUUUCAACCAGUACAGGUUUCAUCUCAUUUCAACCAGUACUGUUAUCAUCUCAUUUCAACCAAUACAGUUUUCAUCUCAUUUCAACCAGUACUGUUUUCAUCUCAUUUCAACCAGUACAGUUUCCAUCUCAUUUCAACCAGUACUGUUUUCAUCUCAUUUCAACCAGUACAGUUUUCAUCUCAUUUCAACCAGUACAGUUUUCAUCUCAUUUCAACCAGUACAGUUUUCAUCUCAUUUCAACCAGUACUGUUUUCAUCUCAUUUCAACCAGUACAGUUUUCAUCUCAUUUCAACCAGUACUGUUAUCAUCUCAUUUCAACCAGUACAGUUUUCAUCUAA